AUUAAACGCUGGCGGCAUGCCUUACACAUGCAAGUCGAACGGCAGCACGGGGGCAACCCUGGUGGCGAGUGGCGGACGGGUGAGUAAAGCAUCGGAACGUAUCCUGGAGUGGGGGGAUAACGUAGCGAAAGUUACGCUAAUACCGCAUAUUCUGUGAGCAGGAAAGCAGGGGGAUCGCAAGACCUUGCGCUCUGGGAGCGGCCGAUGUCGGAUUAGCUAGUUGGUGGGGUAAAGGCCUACCAAGGCGACGAUCCGUAGCGGGUCUGAGAGGAUGAUCCGCCACACUGGGACUGAGACACGGCCCAGACUCCUACGGGAGGCAGCAGUGGGGAAUUUUGGGACAAUGGGCGGAAGCCUGAUCCAGCCAUGCCGCGUGAGUGAAGAAGG
rnacentral:rRNA from 1 species